rnacentral:rRNA from 1 species
AUUGAACGCUGGCGGCAGGCUUAACACAUGCAAGUCGAGAGGGGUGAUGGUGCUUGCACUAUCACUUAGCGGCGGACGGGUGAGUAAUGCUUAGGAAUCUGCCUAUUAGUGGGGGACAACAUCUCGAAAGGGAUGUUAAUACCGCAUACGUCCUACGAGAGAAAGCAGGGGAUCACUUGUGACCUUGCGCUAAUAGAUGAGCCUAAGUCGGAUUAGCUAGUUGGUGGGGUAAAGGCCUACCAAGGCGACGAUCUGUAGCGGGUCUGAGAGGAUGAUCCGCCACACUGGGACUGAGACACGGCCCAGACUCCUACGGGAGGCAGCAGUGGGGAAUAUUGGACAAUGGGGGGAACCCUGAUCCAGCCAUGCCGCGUGUGUGAAGAAGGCCUUAUGGUUGUAAAGCACUUUAAGCGAGGAGGAGGCUCUUUUGGUUAAUACCCAAGAUGAGUGGACGUUACUCGCAGAAUAAGCACCGGCUAACUCUGUGCCAGCAGCCGCAGUAA